UACGUAGGGGGCAAGCGUUGUCCGGAAUCAUUGGGCGUAAGGCGCGUGUAGGCGGCUCGGUAAGUCUGCUCUGAAAGUCCAAGGCUCAACCUUGGGAUGCGGGUGGAUACUGCCGGGCUCGAGUCCGGAAGAGGCGAGUGGAAUUCCUGGUGUAGCGGUGAAAUGCGCAGAUAUCAGGAGGAACACCAAUGGCGAAGGCAGCUCGCUGGGACGUGACUGACGCUGAGACGCGAAAGCGUGGGGAGCAAACAGG
rnacentral:rRNA from 1 species